AUUGAACGCUGGCGGCAUGCCUUACACAUGCAAGUCGAACGGCAGCAUGAUCUAGCUUGCUAGAUUGAUGGCGAGUGGCGAACGGGUGAGUAAUACAUCGGAACGUGCCCUGUAGUGGGGGAUAACUAGUCGAAAGAUUAGCUAAUACCGCAUACGACCUGAGGGUGAAAGUGGGGGACCGCAAGGCCUCAUGCUAUAGGAGCGGCCGAUGUCUGAUUAGCUAGUUGGUGAGGUAAAGGCUCACCAAGGCGACGAUCAGUAGCUGGUCUGAGCGGACGAUCAGCCACACUGGGACUGAGACACGGCCCAGACUCCUACGGGAGGCAGCAGUGGGGAAUGUUGGACGAUGGGCGAAAGCCUGAUCCAGCAAUGCCGCGUGUGUGAAGAAGGCCUUCGGGUUGUAAAGCACAUUUGUCCGGAAAGAAAUGGCUCUGGUGAAUACCUGGGGUCGAUGACGGUACCGGAAGAAUAAGGACCGGCUAACUACGUG
rnacentral:rRNA from 1 species